rnacentral:rRNA from 1 species
GAUCAUGGCUCAGGACGAACGCUGGCGGCGUGCCUAAUACAUGCAAGUCGAGCGAAUGACGAGAAGCUUGCUUCUCUGAUUUAGCGGCGGACGGGUGAGUAACACGUGGGCAACCUGCCCUACAGAUUGGGAUAACUCAGGGAAACCUGGGCGUAAUACCGAAUAAUCCUUCCGAAUCACAUGUUUUGUAAGUUGAAAGGACGCUUCGGCGUCACUGUAGGAUGGGCCCGGCCGGUGCAUUAG